rnacentral:tRNA from 1 species
GCCUAGUUAGCUUGGAGGGUAGCGCAUCUGCCUUGUAAGCGCUAGGUCGCGGGUUCGAUUCCCGCCCUGGACG